rnacentral:tRNA from 1 species
AUUUAUAUAGUUUAUUGAAAACGGUAUAUUUUCAUUAUGCAGAUAAUAUUUAUUAUUUAUAAAUA